GGGGGCGCGGAGUGGGAACCGUAGGGACCUGUACGCUGCCCGCCGACCGAGUCCGAGGUGAGCGGCUAGAGGCGGGGUGAGUCCGCCUGCCUGCAGCUCACGGCAACACCAGAUCCUUAACCCACUGAGCGAGGCCAAGGAUUGAACCUGCAACCUCAUGGUUCCUGACACAGAAUGUCUCUGGCUGCGUAUUGCGUCAUCUGUUGCAGAAGAAUGGGAACCUCAGCUCCUUCGCUGAAAAGCCACACAUACUGGAGAGAGAUCAG
rnacentral:lncRNA from 1 species